rnacentral:rRNA from 1 species
UACGAAGGGGGCUAGCGUUGUCCGGAAUUACUGGGCGUAAAGAGCUCGUAGGUGGUUUGUCGCGUUGUUCGUGAAAUCUCACGGCUUAACUGUGAGCGUGCGGGCGAUACGGGCAGACUAGAGUACUGCAGGGGAGAUUGGAAUUCCUGGUGUAGCGGUGGAAUGCGCAGAUAUCAGGAGGAACACCGAUGGCGAAGGCAGAUCUCUGGGCCGUAACUGACGCUGAGGAGCGAAAGCAUGGGGAGCGAACAGG